rnacentral:rRNA from 1 species
UACGGAGGGUGCGAGCGUUGUCCGGAAUCACUGGGCGUAAAGGGCGCGUAGGUGGCGCGGGCAGUCAACGGUGAAAGUUCGGGGCUCAACCCUGAAUCGGCCGUCGAUACUCCCGGGCUUGAGCACUGUAGAGGCUAAUGGAAUUCCGGGUGUAGCGGUGGGAUGCGUAGAGAUCCGGAAGAACACCGGUGGCGAAGGCGGUUAGCUGGGCAGUUGCUGACACUGAGGCGCGACAGCGUGGGGAGCAAACAGG